AGCAAAAUCACCAGUGUUAAAUUUUCAGGGAUGGUGUUAAAUACACAGUGUUGAUGCUGUUUUAACACUAUCUGGUAAUAAAAUAACACUGCCAUUGCUAGGCCAGUGUUAUAUUCACGACAGUGUCAGUGUAAAACAAGGGUGUUAUCAGAUUUCACUCUGAGCGGUGUAAAUCAAGCCACGCCUCCACUAAACAUUUCCUGUCAGGGAUUUUACCGCCAUUUUCUUUCAAAGGAGGACUGAAGAGAGCAGAUGCUAGUUUGGUGAAAGCUCACACUCAGUGCUUCAAAUCAUUCAGAAGAGAUGCUGUUUUUAGGGCAGUUUAUUAAAGAAGACCUGACAUGGAUGACUUCCAAUGAGAAACGACUGCUAAUACUUAUAUAAAUUCAUUACAGAAGGACCCUACCAGAUUGAAUACGGCAUACCCAUGAAUUCUGGAACUGUUAUUCCUUAACCCAGUUUGGAGGAUAAGAGCUUACCAACUAGUUAUAAAUAUGCUGAGGCGAUGUAUUGCAGAAUAGCCAACAUACAACAAUAUGGAUGACCCUCUGUCUGGUCAACAGGAGUUUAAAUAUGGACGGGACAGUGAUGUGGCAGCUCUUCCCUGGCUCAUUCACCUCUUGCCUUCAUUUGUGAAAGGAAAAAAGACUGGAGAGGGUCAAUGUGCAACUGAAGCUUCUGAUUGUGCUGUGUGAUGAGCAUCAAUCCAUGCUUUGAGGUGGAUGGAUCAGCACAGCUCUGCCUGCACUGCGUUGGGAACAGAAGUUGCAUCCAGAAUUUUUGCAUCAUUCUGGACCAAAAAGCCAUUCCCUCCAUGAUGAAGACCACUGAUGCAGCCUUCCACUACUGUACAUCAUGAGUAAAACAACUACAGAACUAAAUACCAGGUUGGAACGUAUUUAAGAAAAAUGAAACGUCUUUUGAAUUGAAAUGUCUGUUUUGUUAUGGAAAAAUCUUUAGUAUUGUGAAGGAUAAGCAUUUCUGCCUGCCAGUAAGGUAAUUGCAGUGUAUUUUAAUGUUCAAGUUUUGAGUAGGGUGGCUAAUUUUUUUUAAACUCUCAUUUGAUUUAUUAAAGACCUUAUAAUAAGUGGUUUUCAUGUCACUGCGCUGUGGUAUAAGAUAACUUUCAUUAUUCCAUACUGUAUUCUGUAUUCUAAUUGUAGCUGAGGUAUUUAAAUAAGCAGUAUUAAAUGCAAAGUGUUGUGUGUAUCAAUGUAAAUAUUAAAUGUGAUGUACUUUAAUAAAAAGAGGUUUUGCAA